AUUGAACGCUGGCGGCAGGCCUAACACAUGCAAGUCGAACGAGUGGCGGACGGGUGAGUCAUGUCUGGGAAACUGCCCGAUUGAGGGGGAUAACUACUGGAAACGGUAUCUAAUACCGCAUACCAUCGGAUGUGCCCAUAUGGGAUUAGCUAGUAGGUGGGGUAAUGGCUCACCGAGGCGACGAUCCCUAGCUGGUCUGAGAGGAUGAACCGCCACACUGGAACUGAGAAACGGUCCAGACUCCUACGGGAGGCAGCAGUGGGGAAUAUUGCACAAUGGGCGCAAGCAGGAUGCAGCCAUGCCGCGUGUAUGAAGAAGGCCUGCGGGUUGUAAAGUACUUUCAGCGAGGAGGCGUUACUCGCAGAAGAAGCACCGGCUAACUCCGUGCCAGCAGCCGCGGUAAUUC
rnacentral:rRNA from 1 species